UCCGCUCGCCGCAGCCCCGGCUCCUCCCUCGUCCGGCCCCCGGGGCGGGGUCUGUCGGCUCGCCCUCCCCUCUCUGCCUAAGCCUUCCCUCAGCGAACCGGGUCCCCUCCCCACAGCAAAACGGCUUCUCUUCCUCAGCUCAGCGACAGGGGCUUCCCCUUAGUCGCCGCCGCCGCCGACGCUGCCGCCGCCGCCGCCGGCCGAGCCCCGCCGCAGCCGCGGCCCGCGGCCGCCAUGCAGUUUAUGUUGCUUUUUAGUCGUCAAGGAAAGCUUCGACUGCAGAAAUGGUAUGUCCCGUUAUCAGACAAAGAAAAGAAAAAGAUCACAAGAGAACUUGUUCAAACCGUUUUAGCACGGAAACCUAAAAUGUGCAGCUUUCUUGAAUGGCGAGAUCUGAAGAUUGUUUACAAAAGAUAUGCCAGUCUGUAUUUUUGCUGUGCUAUUGAGGACCAGGACAAUGAACUAAUUACCCUGGAAAUAAUUCAUCGUUACGUGGAAUUACUUGACAAGUAUUUUGGCAGUGUGUGUGAACUUGAUAUCAUUUUUAAUUUUGAGAAGGCUUAUUUUAUUUUGGAUGAGUUUCUUUUGGGAGGAGAAGUUCAGGAAACAUCCAAGAAGAAUGUCCUUAAAGCAAUUGAGCAGGCUGAUCUACUGCAGGAGAGCCAGAAUGAAGAAUGGGGAGGUUUGUCUGAGGAUAUCUUAUGAUAAAGAGCAGUCUAAGGCUUUAGUCCCUUUGACCCCCAACUUAUUUAUUGUUGAUUGCAUGAGCCCUAGGAUUGAGACCUGCACAGGGACCUACCUGCAAAGAACAUAUUCCUAGGUGUUGGUGAUGGUUUUGUUUAUUUAUGUAUUUAUUUUUUAAAAUUAAAGUAAGUUGACAUGAUUUAAAAAAAAAAGUACUUUCUGAAAAAUUUCAGUGUUUGAGUUCUUUUUUUACGCUCCUGAGACUUUUUUUUUUCUUUUAUUGCUUUUUCUGUGGUCUUUUUUUAAAUAAAAAUUCCCACUAUAGGAAAAUUAACAAAUACAAGCAAAGACACUAGAAUAUAAUCUUACUCACCAACCAGAGAAUUAGAUUAAUUCUGGUUCUCAACUGGAGUUGGGAGUAGGGCAGUUGUGCCUCCUCAGGGCACACUUGGCGAUGUCUGGACACGUUUUUGAUUGUUACUACUAGCCACUACUAGCCAUGAGGUGCCACUGGCAUCUAGUAGGUGAAGAUCAAAGAUGCUAUUAAAUAUCUAAUAAUGCCCAGAACAGCCCUCUCAGAGUAAGAAAUUAUCCAGCCUCAAGUGUCAAUGGUGCUGAGGUCCAGAGACCCUGGUUUAAUUUAACACCAUGUAAUAUAUAAACAUUUCAUUUACAGAUUCCAUUUAUAUUUAUGGACUGCUACAUCUUUUCAAUAUAAUAUAUAGUGCAGAUUACAAAUGACUAGCCAAAAAUGAAUCAAAAGUAUAAGGGAAAAAAACCCUAAAAAUUGUGAAGAGAGGGAUAAAUCUGCUCAAGAACAUGUAAAUGGCUAUAAAAAUCACCUCUGUGAUUCACCAAAAUUACUUUUACUUGAUCAAAAUAACUUUUGAUAACCAGAGAUAACCCACAGCAAAACUUACGGGAUGUCACUGUAUAAUUUCCUCAACAACUAAAUCUGUUAACAUUUAUUCAUGUUAUUUAGUUUUUGUCUGGAAACAAAAUUGAGCAUACCCUGCAUGCAGUUAGAACACUUGAACUUGCUGCCGACUUCCCUAUCCACCUUAGGGAUUUGAUAAUUCCUUAUGAGAGGAAUAGUUUAAAUGACCAGAAUUUACAUAUAUAAUAUAGACUUAUAUUGUACAUACAUACUUUUUUGUUGUCUUUCUUUUAUGCCCUAUUAGUCUUAUAGAAUUUACUUAGUAAAGAGAAUAUUUGAAAUUCAGUGAUUCCAAGAAAUCAUUUAUAUUUUGAAAACCUUGGUUAAAUUUAGGGCAUUUCAAGUUAUGAUCCAAAUGGAAGACCAAGACAAAUACAAUACAAUUACCCUAAGAUGUACUUAAAACUAUUUCUUUACAGUCUAAAGUUGUAUUUACUAACUUAAUUAUUCUGCUUCUUUAUUUUUAUUUUUUUGGUUUGUUUCUUGGAUUGGCAAAGAAUUGUUUCCUCCUUAUGAACACUUAAAUUUGUAUUCUAUUUUGGAGGAUUAGUUUAGUGAUAUCUAUUAACAAAUGUGUAUACUUUUUGCCCAUUAGUUAUACUUGAAGGAAUUUUAUCCAACAGAAAUGUACAAAUGCACUAAGACACACGCUGGGUAUAAUACUAAACCAUUGGAACCUAAUCAAAUGUCCAUCAAUGGGAAAUAGGUUAAGAAAAUUACAGUACACCAUAUAUGAAACUGUUACCUGGCUAUAAAAGAAAUGAGAUCAAUUUGUAUGUAAUGAUAUGGAAAGAUACUCAAGGUUUAUCAAGUAAGAAAAGAUCUAGGAAUAGGACAUUAAAAGUAUUACCUCGGACGAUAUUUGAGGUUCCCCCCCCUCCUGUUUUAAAACAUGUAAUGUAAAAAAAAAAAAAAUCACUCAACUUUCCUAGUGCUUCAAAAGUGCUUGUGAAAUAAGACACCAUGAGUCCUGUCACCUAAAAGAUACCACAUAAAGUGCUUUCAUUUUUUUCUCUUUUUAUUCAUUGCUAAAAAGAGAUCUUCAUGAGUUUGGAUACUCGGCGGCCCUUUGGUCUUUAGCUCAAGGUAUAGGGUUCCAGAGUUAAGAGUAAGGACUUUGCCACAGUAUUCAAUAAAAAGUACCACUGUAUUCUAGAACAUGAAGGACUAAGGAUACUACUUUAUAGUGCAUGGAAUAAGUGAAGCCCCUUUAAGAAAAACUGGAGUGUAGCAGUAACUUCAAAUUUUAUAUAUAUAUAUAUAUAUAUUUUUUAGGGCUUCCCUGGUGACUCAGUGGUAAAGAAUCUACCUGCUAAUGCAGGAGACAGAGGUUCAAUCCCUGGGUUGGAAAAAUACCCUGGAAAAGGAAAUGGUACCCUACUCCAGUAUUCUUGCCUGGAGAAGCCCAUGGGCAGAGGAGCCUGGUGGGCCACAGUCCAUAGGGUCUCAAAGGGUCAACACGAACCUGCAUGCAUAUAUAUGAUUAAAUGUACGUAAUUUUCUCUUUGAUUGCCUUGCAUACCAGAAAGAAAAAUCAGGAUACUAGGUUUUCCAUUUUGGAUCCAUACCACUAGUUUAUUUAAGUACUUCUCAUCCCAACAAGACUUAAGCCUUUAGAUUAUUUUACUUGUGAGUCAUCAGCCUAGUAUAGUGAAUAUCUGGGAAUUUUUAAGGUAAUGGGGUUUGUUUUAGGAACAUAGGUGGUUUUGAGAACAGGUGUAACUUAAUUCCUUGCUGCUGUGUUUGUUGUCCUACACUUCCCACUACAGUUCAGUCGCUCAGUCGUGUCCGACUCUUUGCGACCCCAUGAAUCGCAGCACGCCAGGCCUCCCUGUCCAUCACCAACUCCCGGAGUUCACUCAAACUCACGUCCAUCGAGUCGGUGAUGCCAUCCAGCCAUCUCAUCCUCUGUCGUCCCCCUCUCCUCCUUCCCCCAAUCCCUUGGAUUGAGAAAAAGAUUAUUCUUAGGAUGGAGGAAAGUUGAAUGUGCAUGUAUACUCAGGAAAAGAGCAAAUGCAGAGAGCAAUGAAAAACAGGAAUAGAAUAAUGGAAAAAGUAUAUUGGGAGGGUGAAUAGGAAUGCAAUCACAAGCAUUGGUUUAAGAUGAGUCUUCUCCCCCCUCUGUUUUGAGUUUAAUAGGUUUAAUGAGCUUAAUGGGCCACAGAUUUUUCUUUUUUUUCCUCAUGAGAUGGAUGAGUUGAUAAACUGUCUAGAGGAGAGCUGCUGGGACUGAGGAGAGAGAGAGGCAGAUAACUUGAAAUGUUGAAGGUUUGGCAUAGACUUAAUGGGGAAGAAGUCAGUGAUUUGCCCAGAUUAAAGGCCCAUUUCAGAUUUAAAAUAGUAAAUAUCUAAUCUUUAGUCCAAAAAUAGGUCUCCAAUGUGUACUAAGGGCAACUUGUGGUUUAUAUUUAUUUGUGUAAUACACUGGAUUACAAAUUUUUUUCUCACUAUUUUCCUUUUGGUCUUUAUUCCCACACGGUCUGUAUCACUGACAUUUCAGUGUAUUUAACUCAGUUUGCUAGGUCAUAGAAGACAGUAGGUCUAGUUCUGCAGAGGACUUUGACCCUCCCCUAUUCUUAAUUAAUAUAAUUAUUCCAUGACUCAUAAAAUGUUCUCCUGGUGUGAAGGCCCAGAAUACUGGAGUUAUAUUUAAUCCACUAUAAUGUUUUCCUUGUAUAUAAGAGAAAAAAUAACUUAAUUAUGGGCAUAUCUAUCAUUUAAAAAUCAACCUUAAAUGUUAAAUGGUCUUUAAGGCAUUUAUUUAUAGCAUAACCUUUUCUGCUUCUGUCAGUUUAAAAUCGGAAAGUAUUUGAAACAUGUUAUAGCAACUUAAAAGUGUUGAAAGAAUACAUUUGUUUUUGUGGAUUUUAGAGUUUUUCUUCUUGAAGAAUGUUUUUCAGCCACGUCAUGAAUAUUUUAAUGUCCCUGUGUACUAAAUGACCACUCAUCGUGUAUGCAGAAUUUCACAGAGGAAAUAGAGAGCUGAUAUGCUUAUGAAAGAAAAUAUCCUCAGCUUGGUGACUGAUUACCUUGUGUAAUAAUAGAACAUUUUAGAACUGUUACCUUUGUAAUAAUUUUCCUGUUCUCAUCCUCUUUUCUGUUUUAUUUUCAUUUUGUGUGUGAUCUUGAUACAGCUUUUCCUGCUUGCAACUGGUUUAAUUUCUUCUUGAAAAAUAUGAUCUAUGAUCAUUUUGAGUAAUGUUUCAUUUCAAACACCUACAUGUCAUCAUUUGUGAACCGUCUGUGAUUAAUCUUGUAAGAGAAUACCUAGCAAUCAUUAAAUGUUUACCAAAGAAAAUAGAGCUGAAAUGCUUGGUCAAAAUUAGCAGUGCCACAGUACAGCAUGAUUUGAUCUUCAAAUGUUGGCAGGAUGGGACUAUAUUUAGGGUAAUUAUAGUAUACAUGAGGAAACAUUUUUAAUGUAUCACAUAAAUGUAUUUGGCAAUAAUACAAGAAAGUAAAAUCUGUACUAUUAUAUAAUAUUUAAGCUAAAACAUUCACGAUUUCUAAAAAAUUUGUAAUGCCACAUUUAUCGACUGAUAUUUGUGCUAUACAAUAUCAAACAGUCCCUCUAAGAACUAUCAGAAAGCUAUGUCAGAAGUCUCUUCUGCAAUAUCUAUUGUUUAAAAGUAAGUAAUCCUUUCAAAGUAUUAAUAUAGGAUUUAUUUUAUAUAGUUAAGAUUCUAAUAUUGUUUAAAUACUAUAAUAUUUUACUAGUUAUUUAGUUAAGUCUGCAUUUACUUAAUGAUUCGUUAAAUAUGGUUUUAUAUUUGAUAUUAAAACCUUUAAUACUGAUCAUUGUGUUUUAAUAAAACAUGCAACAUAUAUUAUUAUAAAGAGAAAAUUACCGAAUAAUUCAUUGUUAAUGUUUAGAGAGUUUAAAGCCCAAGUUAAGUAAGCUAUCAUUAAACAAGUUCAAAAGAUGCUCAGUGGUUUACCACUGAAAGAAGACCUGUGAAAAUGUGUAUUAGGCAGGGGUGCAGAUCAGUUGUUUCCAUUCUUCCAUUCUUGCUGUACUACAUGACAUUUGAAGCACCUGGAUGGGCUAUCAAAUGAGAAAUUAGCAUUAUACAUUGAUAGCAUUAGAAAACAUUGGUCUUUCAUUUCCACUUUUUUCCUCUUUCCCUCCCCCAGCCCUGCAACAUGGUAUUCAUCUGGUUUUAAUGCUGCAUAAAUAUGCAUUGUCUCAUGCCUGUUUGCUUUGGAUGCUGUAUGCCCAGCUGUAACAAGAUGUUGCUUCUUUUGUUAUUUGUAUACAGCCGCUUGCUUUAAACUAGUAGAUGCUGAAAUAGCUUUCCUUGCAUGUUUAAAAUAAAAGUAUUGCAUGUA